GGGGAAUCUUCCGCAAUGGGCGCAAGCCUGACGGAGCAACGCCGCGUGAGGGAGGAAUGUCUGUGGAUUGUAAACCUCUUUUCUCUGGGAAGAAGAUCUGACGGUACCAGAGGAAUCAGCAUCGGCUAACUCCGUGCCAGCAGCCGCGGUAAGACGGAGGAUGCAAGCGUUAUCCGGAAUUAUUGGGCGUAAAGCGUCCGUAGGCGGUUACUUAAGUCAGUUGUUAAAGACUGCAGCUCAACUGUGGGAGAGCAACUGAAACUGAGUGACUAGAGUAUGGUAGGGGUAGAGGGAAUUCCUAGUGUAGCGGUGAAAUGCGUAGAUAUUAGGAAGAACACCAGUGGCGAAGGCGCUCUGCUGGGCCAAGACUGACGCUGAUGGACGAAAGCUAGGGGAGCGAAAGGGAUUAGAUACCCCUGUAGUC
rnacentral:rRNA from 1 species